rnacentral:lncRNA from 1 species
UUGUUGAUUCUAAGAAGUUUCUAGAAUGAUUAAUUCAUAUUGUGCAAGCUGAAUUGGUGUGCAAGCUAGCAAAAGUGAAAGUGAAACUAAUUGCCUCUUAGGCAAGUUAGUUAGUUUGUUAGUGAAGUUUGUUAAUAGAGUUUGUUAGAUUCAGUUAGUUUUGUUUCACCUAGGUUGUUAAAGUGUAUUAGAGUCAGUUAGGAAGUUGUUAGUUGGUUAGAG